rnacentral:rRNA from 1 species
CCUACGGGAGGCAGCAGUGGGGAAUAUUGCACAAUGGGGGAAACCCUGAUGCCGUGACGCCGCGUGAGUGAAGAAGUAUUUCGGUAUGUAAAGCUCUAUCAGCAGGGAAGAAACCCACCCUCCGGGGUGGCUGACGGUACCUGACUAAGAAGCCCCGGCUAACUACGUGCCAGCAGCCGCGGUAAUACGUAGGGGGCAAGCGUUAACCGGAUUUACUGGGGGUAAAGGGAGCGUAGACGGCAGCGCAAGUCUGAAGUGAAAUCCCAUGGCUUAACCAUGGAACUGCUUUGGAAACUGUGCAGCGGGAGUGAAGGAGAGGUAAGCGGAAUUCCUAGUGUAGCGGUGAAAUGCGUAGAUAUUAGGAGGAACACCAGUGGCGAAGGCGGCUUACUGGACUGUAACUGACGUUGAGGCUCGAAAGCGUGGGGAGCAAACAGGAUUAGAUACCCUGGUAGUC